AAUAAAACGAUGAGCAGGACGAGUAAAUCAUACCCAGCUAAAAGAGAUGGAGACUCAGCGGCUGAGAGGUUUCCUUAGCAUGGACGAUUGAAAACCACCUGCGAGUGCGGCUUUGAAUGAAGUAGAGGCUGACGUUUGCCGCGUUAAGGCAUAAAGUGGGCUUUGCCAAUCUGGGUGGAACCGCGGGAGUAUAUGCUCUCGUCCCUUUU
rfam:Caloramator quimbayensis strain TSBA 833 genome assembly, contig: Ga0105845_109